GAUGAUAGAGGCGCGUUUAGCGAUUAGUAAUAUCGGAAGCUGUAAGACCGGCCGGGUCGAUGUCCGAUACGAAAGGCGCGGACGCCGAGGGGACUUCACGGCACGGAGUCUGCCGGUUUGGCAAAAUAAGAUUUGUCCGACUGUCGCUUAAACUGCGGAGAGCUAUCUGA
rnacentral:ncRNA from 1 species